AGCCCUACGGGAGGCAGCAGUGGGGGAUAUUGCACAAUGGGGGAAACCCUGAUGCAGCGACGCCGCGUGGGCGAAGAAGUAUUUCGGUAUGUAAAGCCCUAUCAGCAGGGAAGAAGAAAUGACGGUACCUGAGUAAGAAGCACCGGCUAAAUACGUGCCAGCAGCCGCGGUAAUACGUAGGGGGCGAGCGUUAUCCGGAUUCACUGGGCGUAAAGGGAGCGCAGGCGGCACGGCAAGUCCGGUGUGAAAGCCCGGGGCCCAACCCCGGGACUGCACUGGAAACUGCCGGGCUGGAGUGUCGGAGG
rnacentral:rRNA from 1 species